UCAAAAAAGGACUACAACAGGCAAGUUCACCUUUUGAUCGUAGUUUUUGUCCUUUUAUUUCUCAGCACAGUUACUCGUUUUCUUGGAAACUUGUGGCUACAUUCGAGAUAUUUACAAAUAAAACAUUCUUUAUGGUCAAUUGUUGGUUUUUUUCUAUCUUACCUUCUCUUAUUUGAGAUUAUUUCUUUUGUUACAGGCUCGAACAUUAUAGCUUGGAACGAAAAAAAGAAAUUCAAUUUGAAAAUGUGGACUUUAAUAGGCAAGUUCUCCUUUGUUUACAGUUUUUUGUCUUUUUAUUUCCAAGCAUAGUUUCGCAUUUUAAUAGGUACUAAUAGGUAGCAACAAUUGAAAUAGGUACUAAUGCAACAUUCUUUAUGGUCGAUUGUUGGAAAUUUUUGCCCUUUAUUCUCCUUUUAAAAACUAGUUUCUCUAGUUUUAAAAUGUUCUAUUUUCUCUUUUAGGUUUGGUUUCGAUCGUGCAAAAUUUUUCCUUUGCUAAACUUUCCAUGUUCUAAAGUUUCCGCUUUUCAGAACCUUGGAUAAUCUUUUGUAUAGCUUUUUUUUGCUUCAGAAAAUGAACAGAAUAACAAUUUCAAAGCAUGGGCUAUGACAGGCAAGUUCUUCUUUCUUCACAGUUUUUGUCUUUUGAUUUUCUUAGCAUAGUUUUUUUUUAAUUAUUUGAGACUGAUGGAAGGCUUUGAAAUAACUACCAAUGCGACAUUCUUACUGAUCGAUUGCUGCAAUUUUUUGUCCUCUAUAUUUCUUUAGGUUCUUAUCACGUUUCUCUUAUUUUGAGAAAUUUGCUUUUUCCUCCAGGUUUGGCCUUGAUUUAUCUAAGGUUUAGCCUAAGAAGGAUAGAAAGGAAUGAUUCUCUGAUAAUAUAAAGUAUAACAGACCCAAUUUAUGCAUUGAAUAAGGCGAAGAAAGACAGACUUGGGUUUUAAAGCAAGUGGAACUGUGGCUACGAAUCUUCAAAUUCUGGACUUUCCUGCACUGAAGUCGAACAAAAAAAAUUGAAAGUUCCCUGACAGAUUGUAAGUAUUUUUGAUUACGUUACUUUCUAGCCAUAUUUUCAAUAAAUAUUUUCACUAAAAAAACUUAAAACUUUUUAAAAGGUUUGAAAAAUUAUGUUUGAAAAUUCGAAAUCUAUUUCAGCAUGCCGAAGUUUUCAUAAAAACUGCUGGGGAAACAAAACUCAGCUAGGUAGAAUAAAAGUGAAUAAUGCAAAAAAUACAGAAAGUUCCAUAAAUUUAUGCAAUUAAUUAAUUAUUGCUUAUUGUAUGAAGAUGAAAGGAAAUACUCUGUGAAAAAGACAAAGCUUAGGUUCAGUCAUUUAAGGUCGGGAGUAAAGAAACAGCAAAAAAGCUUGCAAUAUAUAAAAAGGUUUGAGACAAAUAUAAUGCAAUCCGAUAAACAUGUUUCAAUAAAAAGAGUGCACCCCUCGAUUUUUUAAGUAUACCUGCAGAUACUUCAGUCUUUACUUUUCUGGUUAUUGAUUGGAGAUUCUGAGGUUUGAAAGGUUGGGUUGAUUUUUUGGUUGGUUUGGAAUUUGGAUGUUGGUGGUGGUUUGGGAGGGCUGAUGGAAUGUUUGGAGGUUGGUUUAGGUGUUAAAGGCCAAGACUGGGAUAGUAAAGACUGUUUAACUGCGAGGAAGAAACUAAAACAUUUGAUGUCAAAAAGUCAAAAAGUAUUUCAGAGAAAAUUAUUUCUAACAUUGAUGCGGGGUAGCAAUAUUUGAUUUUAAUAUAAUAAUGCAGAUU